AAGGUUACUUAGGAGAACGUGCGAAAUAGUUCAUUG
rnacentral:rRNA from 1 species